UGUUAGUCUAGGCAUAAUAUCAAAAACUACUCGAUGGCUUCUAUCAAUCAAUCUCGACUUUGGAUGAUUUUGUGUGUUGCCUUUAUUUUGCUCUCAGGUAAUAAGAACAAGUUAUUUUUAUAUCAUUUAUUUUAUAUCUUUUUACAUUAAUUAACCAUAAACAAGCUGUGGUGUAAUUCAAUUGCAGAGAUACCGCAACAUUAUUUUUAUGGUUGUAAUUUGAACUCAUAAUCUAUUGCAUUUGUUAAACUUUAUCUUUAUUUUUGUUGCAGGAUUCAUAACUAAUCUAGAUGCCAUGACUCCGCAACCAAUAUAUAAGUGCAUCGAACGUAAGGAUUGCGUAGAUAAUAUAGAGUGCACAAACAGUUGUUCUUUUUUCGGAUAUAAUAAAGGUGGUAUAUGUUUAUCUAAGACUUGUUGUUGUUAUACAUAGUGAUAUUAUUGUACUCUUUAAUACCAAUGAAAUAAAACUCAUAUGAAUAAAACUCAUAUAUGCUAUAGUUUUGAAACUUCUUCCGUGAAAACUAGUGAAAUAGUUAUUAAUCUCUUGUUCUUUUUUCAACAAUGCAUGUAAAAUUAUUGAAAAUAUCAUGCAUAUAGAGAUUAAUAUGCAACAAAAUUUGCAUUUGAUCUUACCCAAAAAUUUAAAAAGACGACACGAAAGCUAUUGAAUUUUCAAUAACUUUUUACUUGUCAAUUGAACAAAAAUAAAAACAAAGUUUAAAAAAUUGUAUUUGAAUUUGUUGAGGUAUUUUGAGUAAUGGCGAGAGUUUGAAUCAACGGUGAAUAUUGUAUAUUGAAAAUUUUGCAGCAUAAUGGUAUGAAAUUACCGUUACCACAAUGGAAAUAAGCAACCACAAUGCAAAUUAAUGGAUUUAUUAACAAAAUUAACAAAUUAAUUGCAAGGUAUGGAGGGCAAAAAUAUUGAUGGGCCUCCUUAUGUUAUAUAUAUAUAUAUANNNNNNNNNNNNNNNNNNNNNNNNNNNNNNNNNNNNNNNNNNNNNNNNNNNNNNNNNNNNNNNNNNNNNNNNNNNNNNNNNNNNNNNNNNNNNNNNNNNNNNNNNNNNNNNNNNNNNNNNNNNNNNNNNNNNNNNNNNNNNNNNNNNNNNNNNNNNNNNNNNNNNNNNNNNNNNNNNNNNNNNNNNNNNNNNNNNNNNNNNNNNNNNNNNNNNNNNNNNNNNNNNNNNNNNNNNNNNNNNNNNNNNNNNNNNNNNNNNNNNNNNNNNNNNNNNNNNNNNNNNNNNNNNNNNNNNNNNNNNNNNNNNNNNNNNNNNNNNNNNNNNNNNNNNNNNNNNNNNNNNNNNNNNNNNNNNNNNNNNNNNNNNNNNNNNNNNNNNNNNNNNNNNNNNNNNNNNNNNNNNNNNNNNNNNNNNNNNNNNNNNNNNNNNNNNNNNNNNNNNNNNNNNNNNNNNNNNNNNNNNNNNNNNNNNNNNNNNNNNNNNNNNNNNNNNNNNNNNNNNNNNNNNNNNNNNNNNNNNNNNNNNNNNNNNNNNNNNNNNNNNNNNNNNNNNNNNNNNNNNNNNNNNNNNNNNNNNNNNNNNNNNNNNNNNNNNNNNNNNNNNNNNNNNNNNNNNNNNNNNNNNNNNNNNNNNNNNNNNNNNNNNNNNNNNNNNNNNNNNNNNNNNNNNNNNNNNNNNNNNNNNNNNNNNNNNNNNNNNNNNNNNNNNNNNNNNNNNNNUAUAUAUAUAUAUAUAUAUAUAUAUAUAUAUAUAUAUAUAUAUAUAUAUAUAUAUAUAUAUAUAUAUAUAUAUAUAUAUAUAUAUAUAUAUAUAUAUAUAUAUAUAUAUAUAUAUAUAAUUAUAAUGAACAAAUAAAUAAAGUAAAACAAAGGACUUAAGGAAUAAAGUAACUGCGGAAAAAAAAUAAGAACAAGUUAUUAAGACAAAACAGAAUUCCUUAACUCACUCUUUCAACAAUUUUCUCCCUAACACAAAACAAAAUCACACACCUAUAGCAUAUACAUGUUUUAGAUCUAGAAAUUUCGUGAAAUUAGAUGGAUUUAAUGAAUCACAAGAAAUGCAAGUACAGAUUCGUAAAGCAUUUUAUAGUAUACAAACAAAAUUCACUUAGUAAUGUAAUGUCAUAUCUAACUAAGAUCAUAAUAACUAGAAAACCAAAUAUUACCGGAACAUCCAACUUUAAUUUAAUUGAACUUCAAGUAUUUUCAACCUUCAGCAUAACAGAGACAUUCACAAAAAAACAUGUUUCCACUUAAUCACAACUUCACUCAAAUAUUUGCACAGUUUAUAUAUCACUUUCAAGACUUAAGAUGCAAGCCUCAAGCCUCAAACGCGCAAAAUGUGCACAACCAACAACAGAAAAGAAAAGGUUUAAGUGAAAGUUAUCACUAUGAAAACAAAAUGUGGUUAAGGUGCGUUGUUGAAUCUGUGGCAGAAUCCAAUGGAGUGACAAUUGUUGUGAUGUUGCUAAAGCAAAUCCGGUUAUUUGUUGUUGCUGAACUUUGUUGCAAGUGUUGUUGAUGUUUGAGUUGGGUGUUACAUCGGCGACGAGAUUAUCACGGUGGCGAGAGGAUGCGGAGGAGCCACGAUGCGGUUGUGUAGUGACCUGUAGUAAUGGUUUAACGGUAAAGGGUGGGCGAAAGGCGUUGUUGAUGGUGUUUACAGUAGGUUCAUGAAAGAUGAGGGAGGAAAAGUUUGGUUGUUGAAGAAAAUGAACUAAGUGGUUGGUUUGCAUAAUGGUUGAUGGAAGUGGUAGAACAACAAUGGUCGGGGUGUCUUAUAGAGGUGGCCGGUUGUGUCAGAUUUUUGAUGUUCUUGUCUAGUAAUAAAGGAAAACAAAUUUGAGAAGGUGGAGUCUCUUUUGCUUUCUGUUUAUGUUGCUUUUUGUGAGGAGAUAAUAGUUUUGUUUUUUUCUCCAACCAACUUGCAGCUAGCGCCUCUUUUUCUUUUCCGUCCCCACCACUCCCAUUUCAAAUUCAGAAUUUUAGGAGAAAAUGCCUCCAAUGGAGAGGCGCCACGUGUGUUGUCAUCGGGCAAUUAUUGGUAUAAAGGGAUCCAAAGUUAGUCCAAAUAAUAUUAACUUCCUUAUUUGGAGAUUAUUAUUAUUACUUCUAGGAAGAACCAGGGCCAAUAGGGUGGAAAAAAAACCUCUGUAGGUUCCAACAACAGUUGGACUUAAACCGGAAGCAUAGGUUACAAUUAGCUUCAAACGGAUUGGUGUCAAUUACAACUGGACUUCAAGGGUGUUGAUGAUAAUCAGACUUAAGAUACCAAUUACAAUUGGGUUUUUAAACAAAAUGCUAGUUACAACUAGACUUGAAAGGAUACCACUAACAACUAGAUUCUAAAAUUUGAGCGCCAGUUAGAACUGAACUUAAUGAAUAAAUGCCAAUAAAAAUUGGACUCGCAAACAAAGUUGGUGACAACCAGACUUAACAUACCAUUUACAAAUGGAUUUUAACAUAGUGUCAGUUACAACUGGGCCUGAGAUAACAAUUACCAUUGGAUUUGAGAUAAGAUGCUGGUGACAACUAGGCUUUAAAGAGAUACAAGUUACAACUGGAUUUGAAGGACGGAUGUUGAUAACAAUCAGACUUAACAAACGAUGAUAGUGACAACUGGACUUAGAGGUCAAGGGAUAACAAUCAACAACGAGAUCUGAGAUUAUGCAAAUGAGCACGAAGUAUACUUCGGAUUAUGCAUGAUUUUGAUUUUUGUUAUAUACAUGAUAUAUGAAUGGUCAUGAUAUGCAAAUGAUGACAAUAUGCAGACUGGAAAUUUAGAGAAGGCUUCAAGGAGGCACUGAAUCCUCAACACAAACAACUCAACCAAAGAGUGAUGAUAAAUGCAUUAAAGGAUGACCUAUCAAGCUGAACAAUCACAACUGGCCCAGUAAUCCUUUCGGAGAAUGAUGAAUAUGCUCUUUGGAGAUAUAUGUUGACUAAUCAGGAGAAGUAUUGCAACUUGAGACUUGUGGGGAAACACGAAAGAUUUCCUUUUAAUAUUUCCACAUAUCAAAGAAAAAAUUGUGUUUCUCAAUAUGUUGAAAAUUUUCUUUUUAAGUUCAAAAAUUCAUUAUUCACAAAUAAAUGACAUUUUGCAUAACAAAAGAAAUCAGAGAAAAACAACAAAUGAUGGAAAUUGAUAAGAAAACUUGUAUUCAUUCAAGAAUGGGAGCACACAAAUGGUGUAGCUCCAUGGAACGUUACAAAUUUGAAAAUGGCAACGGGGAAAAGGUAUACAUUGAAUCACAGUGACUUUUACUAUCCCUAAUAACAAUGACUCCUCAAAACCUCGCUUCUGAAAGGAGAAGCUGGAUUGAUCUUCCGCCUUUGACUCUUCUGUGUUAAUCAGUGACAACUUAUGCAGUCUAUGCCUUUUGUUCCUAAUUUUUGUCUGGAUCGCCCUUUCGAGUUUUCAAUCCACCGGGACGCUUUUUUUGCCUAAGUCACCCUUUCAGGUUUUCAACUUUAACGACCUACCAUUUUUUUAUUAUCCCUAACUUUUGCCUGAACCGCCCUUUUGGGUUUUCAGUCCACUGGGAUACCCAUUUUUGCCUAAGUCUCUCUUUCAGGUUUUCGACUUAGCGGGUUUUUGUUAGGCAUAAUAUCUUUUGACUGCAUCAGAGUUCACAGGGUGAGUGAGUUCUUCGCCAUCCAUAGUUGUGAAAAACAGAGCACCUUUAGAGUAUGCUCUCUUUACAACGUAUAUGCCUUCAUAAUUGGGAAUCCACUUCCCACGUGAACCUUUGUGCACUAGGAAGAACUUCUUGAGCACGAGAUCCCCUUCCGUGAACUCUCGAGGACGGACCUUCUUGUCAAACACUUUAUUGAUUCGUUGCUGGUAUAAUUUAUAGCGGUAAAUUCAGGACCAUUAAGCUAUGGAUAAACUUAACGUCAAUAAAACCAGAGUCGCCACCGUGCUUUUAUUUUUUCCAAAGAAAAAGAGAAAAGUACGAACAAAACUCAAAGAUAAGAAGUUUUCAAAUCAAAACUAAUAAAAUGUCAGAGAUUACAGGUAAGGGGGUUGGUUACACAAAGGGAAUAUGUUAGCACCCAAAGUGUCUUAGGUACUCCUAGGGAGCCCUUUUUUUAUGUGUGUAUGUGUUUUGGUAUAAAUGAUGUUUGAGAAGAAAACUAGAAUGUGGAGAUGAGAAAAUAAUUCAUUAAUUAUACUUUUGUGUUUGACAUGACCUUCUGUCUCGUGCCUACGUACCAACAUAAAAAUGAGGGAUCAAAACCUCGUAGUUUGUGGUAUCAAUUUCAAAAUGAGUAGAUUUCUUUUAAUUAAAUGUUAAGUGAAAAGAGACACAAAAGACCCAAAAGUUUGAAUGAAUGUUAGUUCUUUUUGUCUUUUGAAAUUUUAAGUCAAUAUAGUUAAGUUUAUUUACAAAUUUUCUUUAAGAAAAGAGUUUAAAAAUUCAUUGGCAUAAGGCCAAAGUUUCUAUUUUUUUUAAAUAAGGUCUAAGUUUUGAAAUCACAAGCAAAGAAAAGUUUUUGAAAGGGGGGAGAAAUUUUGAAAUUUAAGAAGUGAGAGGAGAUGAAGAGUGUAACCUAAGCAUAAAAUUAAAAGUUAAGAGUUUAAAAAAUUUGACCAAUGUGAUGCAAUCCUACAAACAAGAAUGUCAUAUGGAAAACCCACUUUCCCUUUGGACUUUGAAUCAAGCAAUAAUCAGCAAAGCAAAUAGCAAUAUCAAGCAUCAUGAAGAUCAAGGCAUCAAAUAAAUAUGGCCACAUUCAAGCUAAGCAAAUCCCACAGCUAGCAAUCUUCUUUGUCUUCUCAUGUAUCAGAUGAAGUACUCCUUGAUUAACUCAGAAUAAGGCAUUAGGCAUGAGAUCAAAAUAACAGUUGCAUCAAGACCAUAUAGCAGAUGAAUUCAAGUGGAUCCCAAUACUUGCAUCAUAUGAAAGCACAAAUCACAAUCACUUGGUCUCAGAAAUAUUGGCAUUGUCCAAGUCCUUUGCAUAUGGAAUGUUGCAUAAUUCUAAGUCCAAAAGUUCAGAUCAAACCCAACAGUUCUCACAAACAUUUUUUAGGGUUUUUAUUGUUUAUUAGGUAUUUUAAGGUCCUAAGACCACAAACACAAAUAAAAUACACAAAAAAAUAUAUACAAUCAUAAUAUAUGGCUCAAAUGAGCAAAGUGAAAAUGACAAAAACAUAAACAAGUUUAAUGAUAUGUAAAUGACAAUGAAUGGUAAAUGACUAGAAAUUAAAUUGCAUAAAAUAAAUGACUUGAAAGUAAAAGCAAUGUUAAUAAAAAGUUAGUCAAUUGUUAGUUAAUUAGAUGUUAGUGGAGUUUUACUUUUCAAUUGAUUAAGUCAUUCUUUGGAGAACACUCAACCAUCAAUCUAGUCACAAGCAUGGAUCCUUGAACCAAGACAUUUUCCAAAGGAAGGAAAAAAGACCAAGUUUCCAUACAAUACCAUUAAAGAUGAGAGACUUACAAUCUCACUUACUAGAAUAGUGUGCCUUUAGGGUCAAAUUUAGCUCUAUGUUAAGCAAUCGUAAUUGGACUUAUGUAGAAGUCACAACUAUCUGAGGUCGGGCAAUAAAAAUUUAGGUGCUAAUGCAUGUUAGAGAUUUGCUAAAUGAACAAACUCCUAAAACAUACCACACACUAAAAUAAAAAGAUCAAAGGAGGAACCUAUCUCAUCCAUACUAGUAUCAGUUCAUCAACACAAGGUUAUGAUGAUGACCAAUUAGCCUAGGAUCAUGAGAUUCAUUGUCAAUAAAUGAUAUGGAGAGAAUAGGAUUGAAGAUGAAGAGGGAGGGGAGAUGAGAGAAACACAAAUUGUCAUGGGAGAAUUUUAUCAAAUUAAAAUCAUUCAUUCAUUUUGGGAGAUGAAAUGUACAUUUCAUCAAUCCCCUAAAUCCAAUGAUUUUAACUCAACAAAAGUCAAAUCAACCUUGACCAAGGCCCAAACACAUACUCAAACAUCACAAAUCAAUAAAAAUGGCUCAACAUAAUUUUUGCACAAUUAAUACACUAAAAAUAAAUUUAAAAAUGCAUUUAAAUUCAAUUUAAUUUGGUCAAAACCUAAAACCUCUUCAAAACACCAAAUAAAUGGCCAAGAGAUUUAUCCUAGGUCAACCAAUGUCAAAGGACCUUAGACAAAAAAUUUCAUGAUUUUUGAAAAGUCAGAAGUAUUUUCAAACAAUUAAAAAUAUGCAUAAAAACAAUCAAUUCAUGAAAAAUAUCAAAAUUAAUCCAAAAAAUAGUUUUAAUUUAGAAAAUGAAAUAAUAAAUUAUUUAAAGAUUUUUGGUGAACGAUCCAUAUUUUUUGGAUUAAAAAUGAAAUUAAUAUGAAUUAAAAAAAAGCUAAUUAAAAUAUAAAAUCAUAAAUUAAAUAAAAUGAGAAAAAAUAAGGGUCAUCAGAUCUUCCUCAUUAAUUGAGGUGGCAGAUAUGACGGCCACACGCAUCAUGUCCAUGGUGUUCCAAAGUCAGCGUGUUGCAACGUUGGUAAUUAAAACCAAAGGCUAAGAUUAAAACAAUUUAAACAGAUCUGAUGGUUGAGAGACCUGACAACACACCACCGGAGCUAGGGCUCUGGUCUUCUUCUCCGGUGGACCUCACUAAACUGGUCCACCAUCAACCAUCACUAAAAUAAAACACAAGGACGUAGAUUCAAAGAAAAAAUGCCCAGGAGCUCGUAUCUGCCCUCAAUUUUCUCCAAUUCCAAGUAUAUAAAAAGAUACAAGGAUUUGAAUUUUGAGGAUCAUGAAUUGAGUUGCUUCGAUUUGACCUCAAAGCAACUCAAUCUUGUUGCCUACAUUGGUAGGACUUCAGCCAACCAAAAAUCACAAAGAAUAGUGAAGAAUUGAGGGAGAAUCGAAGAGAUAAAAAUUCUGAAAAAUUACCUUCGAGGGAGCUUCAACCUUGCUUGAUCUUGAUUCGGAUUGUGCUUGGCUUUGUUUCAGAAGCUUGUAGGAAGUGAUUAAGAUCAGAAAAUGGCUUGGACUCUUGGAGUUUCAAUCUCAAAACAGAAUGAGAUUUGAAGCUCGAUUUUCAAACGAAAACCUUCAAGAUUAUCCUUUAAUGGUGAGGGUUUGGAUUGCAAGUUCAAAGCUUGGGCAUGAGGUCCUCAAUUCAGAGCAUGAGGGGUUGUAUUUAUAGGCCCAUCAUGUGAUGCCAUCAAGUCCAAAAAUGCUUGAGAAUCAUGCUGAAAUCAUGUCAUGUGGCCAUGCAUUUGUGUUUGAAAUGUGAAGGUGAAAAUCAUCCAAUUGGUCCUUUGAAAAGAACUCAUGCGCAAGUCCUUCAUUCUUUGGCCAAAUGAGAUAACAUUAGACUUUUUGGAAAGGUGAGAUCAAGGGGAACAACUUUCAUGGUUAAUAUUUUUCCAUUUGAAUGUUGGAUCAUGAUGAAUUUUGAGAUGGAAGUUUGGAAAAUCAAACAUGUUUAAAAAAUUUCUAAGUACCAAGUCAAAUGUUCACUUCUUCCACCUUGAAUAACUUUUGCUAUGGACAUCAAAUGGAAAACGUUCCUUCAUCAAAGUUGUAUCUAUAUCAAACCUAUUCAAUUUGGUCACAAUUUUUACCUUAUUUGGAUUUUGCAUGAAGGAGUUAUACAUUAUAGAAGUUGGGGAAAAUCACUUGUUCAAUGGUAAUGGCCCAAAAUGACCUAUAAUGUUUCCUUUUGGAACAUGUAUUUUCAAGUUGAAUUUGAACUUCCUCCAAAAGUCAAAGUUGAAUUAGACAUCUUGAAUUUGAUCAUGGAAUUUGAAUGGAUUCCAUAUCAUAAAAAUUGAGUAAGUUAUGGUCUUGGGAAGUUGACCUCCUAACUAGGGUUCAGACAAAAUGACUUAUAAUCUUUCACCAUAAAAAAUGGCUUUCCAAGAAAAUCUAGCUCUUGAAUUCAACACGAAAUUUGUUUUGAAUAUCAAUUUUUGAGUAACUUUGCUCUUGGAAGAAUUUUCAUAUGACAAAACUUAUGGGAGAUAGGAUCUAGGGAACCCUAGUUUUGACCAGUUGACUUUCUCUGGUCAACCACCAUGAACCAUAUUGAUAUCUUGACAUUCUCUUGACUUUGGGGACUCAUGGAGGAUCAUAUAGGCAUAAGAUUAUGUAAUAUGAAGUAUACCUUGAAAUAUUUGAUCAAUUGAUGAAGAAACUUGUUGAAGAAGUCACACAAGAUACCUAGAUGAAUUAGGGCUUCCAAAGAAAACAAACUUCAAACUCUUGAUGAAUCCUUGAUAAAAAUAAUAUGUGAAGACCAUGAGGAUACAUAUAUGAUGUCUAGAGUCAAUGUGAACCAUUUAUUGAUUGAACUCCUUGCUUUGAGGGUCUUAAACCCUAGAUAUGAGCUUGAUGGAACAUAGAUGAACAUACACACUACCUACAAAAGCAACAAACUAUACAUUGGCAUAUUUUUGGUAUUUUGGUUAGUAAAUAAUGAAAAAAAGUAUGAUACAAUCAAAAAUGUGCUUGGUGAUCUCUCCCAAUGCAAACCCAAUGAAUGAGGGGUAAGGAGGAUGCCAAGGUGUGAUCCCAAUGCUAAUACAUAUGAUGAGAUAACAUGAGGGAUCUUAGAGUCAAAAUUGGGGUCUUACACAAUUGUCCAUGGCAAUGGGCGGUCAUACGCUUAUCGUAAUGAGGUUAAGUUGAUCAUAAUUGUUCUAGAUCCAUUCAUCUUCUUCUAGCUUAGCCUCCAUCAAUAUUCUCAUUGAAGAUAUCUCUACUUGAUUGGGAGAACUUCUUUCAUCCUAUAGACCAAGGAGAAUGGGGUUGCCCCUGUUGAAGUGCGACCGAGGUACGGUAUCCAUGUAAAGCAAAAGGUAACAUCUCAUACCAAUCCUUAUAGGCAGAAGAAGGGAGAAUAAAUAGGAAUGUGCUCGUCAAGGACUCGCAUUCUCGUGCAUACGUAUUCUCAAUAUGCAAUGAGAAAGUCAAAUCUCUGUAGUUAGUGGAACUAUGAAAACAAAGAGAGAGAUUGGAAGUGAUGAAAAGUAUAACUGGCACCAAAGGGAAAUGGUAACAUUGGAACCCAUAAAGGUAAAUGAACUUUGAACCUAAGUGUAGGUGUUUAAUUGGCUGCAUUGUAUGGUAAAACACUAAUGUCUUGACUGAUGUCAUGACAUGUAUAUGUAACUACAUUAUAGUUACUGCAGGACUAGCUAACACAGGAUUAUUGAAUGCUGUACAUUCAACCUUCACGAGAUACUAAGGAAUAGAACAUCAGGAGUUCUGUUAGAACUUAGUAUUUCACUUGCAGUCUGGUUAUCAAGGAAGAACCAGACCCUGGCAUAAGGCCACUGAUUGAAUGUCAAACUGGAUGUUGUGACAUUCAUCACUGACAGCAGCUACUGAAGAUUGGGCAGAGUGGUGUUCUGCUAUACUUCAGCACUUUACUUAGUUUGUUAUUCAAGGAGAAUAGCAGAACUAACUUAAGGCCAAUUGUGUAAAUGUUAAGCUGGACACUUUGACAUUUACUAAUGUAAGCUGGUACUGUAGUAUGGUCAUAUUGAUCAUGUACAGGUCAGCAGAUUUGUACAGUCUGUUUUCUGGAAAACAGACUCAGCAUAUGGACCUUGAUGUCAAGCUGAAUGUCGUGACAUUCAUGCCUGACAGCAUAUGCUAAAUUGUAGGUUGUUCAGUUUCUGUUACAGCUUUCUCAGGCUAUUCUUUAGGAAGUCAACAGCUUAGAGAAAAUCCAGGAAAUCAACAACCAAGCUACAUUCAAUGAACCUAACAAAUAGCCUAUUUGUUAGCAACCUAAAUAUUGAAUUUGAGGGAACGUAUGUGACCUAAAAUUCAGGAAAAUACAGUGCCAAAAGCCCAGGUGCUGCAAUAUAAAAAGGAAGGCAUUCCUCAUUCAGUUUCAGGAUUUUGAGGUGUGAGAGAUUUAGUGUGUCCAUCUUACUCACUACUGUAUUUUUGUAGUCUAGAAUUAGACGUAUCUUGUAAGCCAAGUCAUUAUCAAAUAGAUGAUUGCUUUGGCAUAGGGUUCAUUGAGUUGUAAGUGUUGUGUCACUCAAGCUUUUAAGCGUGAGUGCUGUGUAUCUUGGUUUAAGCUGUGAAGCAUAACCAAGAGUUGUUUUUGAAGUGUGACUUCAAAGUGUUUUUAAAUAUCACUGAGGUGAUUGAGGGGGAGUGAGUAGGAACUCUGAUCUUAGAUUAAGUGAAAUUGCAUUGGGUAGGGAUUAGUGAUAAGUUGUAAACGGGUGAGUUAGCUUUGAAUUGAUACUACUAAUAGUGGAUUUCCUCCCUGGCUUGGUAGCCCCCAGAUGUAGGUCAUUUGGACUGAACUGGUGAACAAUUACUUGUGUUAUUUACUGCACUUACAAUAAGUUCUGCAUAAUCCCUGUCUGUGCAGAAUUGGAUGUCAUAACACCAGUGUGACAUCCAAAGUCUGAAUAACUAGAAUUUCAAUUGGCAUCAGAGCAGGCACCCUGCCUGUGAAGUUCUGGGUGAGAUCUAGGGAAGUUACUUUUCUAGUACCAUGGACAAGGACUUAGGACACUCAAAUAGACCACCCAUGUUGGAUGGCUCUAAUUAUUGAUGACUGGAAACCUCGUAUGAUAGCCUUCUAAGUCUCUAGACAGCAAAGUCUGGAGAGCUGUCAACAAAGGAUGGGAACAUCCAAUGAGGACAGGUGAAGAGAAGUCAGUGUGCCAGAUUCCUGAAGAAGAUUGGGACAAGGAACAAGAGGCAUUAGCUCUUGGAAAUUCCAAAGCUUGAAUGCACUGUUCAAUGGAAUCACUAAGAACAUCUCAGGCUGGUGCACCAGUGUGAACUAGCAAAGGAAGUUGGAUACACCUCAACGUAACUCCAUGAAGUACUUCCAAGGUGAAGAUGUCAAAACUUCAGAAUGUUGACAACCAAGUUGAAAUCUGAGGAUGAAAGAGGAUGAGACUAUUCAUGAACUUUCACAUGAAUAUCUUGAAAUAGCAAACACUCUAGUGGACUAGGUGAGAAAAUGACUGAAGAGAAACUCGUAAGAAAGAUUCUCAGGUCCUUGCCUAAGACGGUUUGCUAUGAAGGUCACUGCCAUAGAGGAGGCUCAGGACAUCAGCAAUAUGAAGGAGAUGAGCUCAUUGGUUCUCUCCAACCUUUGAAAUGGCUUAGUGAGUAUGCUGAAGAAAGAAGAAAAGCAUAGUCCUUAUAGGAAGGAUAUACUGGAGGUGAUGAAGUAUAUCAAGAAGCCUUAGCCAUGUUGGAGACAGUCAACAAGCUCAUAAAGAAAGUGUGAUCACGAGGGUAAGAUUAAUGUCAAAGACAUCCCAUCUGACAAAGAAUCGACUCACUCAUAAGAAAAGGCAACCAAGGCAAGGGAAUCCAGCGCCAUGGAUGUGUAAGGAUGUGAUCAUAGUAAGGCUGACUGCCUGACCCUCUCCUCAAUCGAGGCAAGGAAAGGGUUAGCUGUCACCUGAGUCUAAGAAGACCUGAGAAGUUGAAUCUGAAGGAGGAGAUCGGCCGAACAAUCAAUGGCUCUGACAGGUGUUGUUCUCAGAGGAUAACUCAAGUGGGGAUGACUCACAUUGGAUGACCUUGCUGUUCAUAUAAAGAAUUAUGUGUUAAAAGUGACAGAAGUUUGGCAUCCAAGGAGAAAAGCAUAAGAACCUCAUCAAAGACUAGAGCUGAGAACUAGAGCAGCUGAAGUCAUAGAGGGCUGAAGAGUGAGAUUUCGUGGCUAAUCUCCAAGCUAGAACCAAAUGACCCAAAUCCAUCAAAAUGUUGAGUAAGGGAUCUGACAUAUUGGUAAGAAUAUCCUGAAAGACAGGACAGAAGUCUGGAAAACACAUCUGGUCUAGGCCUUAGCGGAGAAGAUUCUCAACUGAACGCAAGACGCCCAAAGGCAAAGUUUCAGAAGUCCAAAGGGAAGUCUGUUCAUUCAAAGUCACAAUAUCGAGGAAAUCCAAUAAUGAACAACCAAUCAGAAGAAGAAAUCAAAGAGACUGGGAUAAGUCAUUACUGUGGUAGAGUUCGGUCACAUAAAACCAUUCUGCUAACAGGCUGCAUGUUACACCAAACCAGACCCUCAAUGUAUGCCCAAGAAAAGAGUGUUCUACUCAUAAUGCUCCAUUAAGAAACCAACAUGGGCGGCUAACAGACAACCUCAGGUCAUCCUAAGCUGCCUGGCAUCUUAAGAUGGCAACACUUCUCUCCGGGAGAAUCAACAGUGUGUGCUAACCUUGCUCACACUCUUCAAGGGCAUAUCGAAACAAGGCAUCGGUACCUUGUAGUAGGACGUGCUCAAGGCAUAUGACUGGGAUUGAACAUACCUAGCUGGUGUAAUCACAUCCCUCUAACACCAAGUCUGUUGACCAUUAGGUGAUGGAACAAAAAAGGAAGUCAUAGGUGUUGGGAAAGCUGGACUGUCAGAAGCUCCAAAUUGAGUGAUGUACUGUUAGUUAAAAGGACUAACUGUGAAACCUUCAUAAGCAUAAGUCAGCGUUGUGACACAAGGAUAUAAGUGGAAUUUACCAGGAGGAUGUGUGGUGUUGAAUGGGACAGCAAUUCAAAGAAGUGAUGAGAGAUGAUAGAUCAAAAUAAUUGCUAUCUAUGGAAAUCUAAGACAAUAUCAACCCGACCCCCCAAGGGUCCUUUGAAGCAAGAGGCAUUUCCAAGGAAACUAUGAGAGAGCCUCAUAUCUGCCCUUAGAUAAAACUGACAUACUUAUGGAAAGUGUCUGCUCAAAAGCAAUGAGCCUUGGUUAACCUUUGGGCCAUCCAUACAGAUCUGAUAUGAAAGCAAGGGAUACGACAAGACGAGUGCAUGUUUAUUGAGUCUGCAAGAAACUCGUACCCUUGCCUGUGGAGGCAGGUGUCACCUCCAGUUUGGAGGACCUGACUGCCAGUACAGAGCUAACAAUGUCACACAAAUCCAUGAAUUGUACAAGUCAAGGACAAAAAAGGGGAAGGUAUGCAUCUGAAAACGUUAUAGCAACUUACUGAAGUUAGUUAGCUAAUGUUAAAGUCAAAAUAUUAAACAUAUGCGUGAGCGCUGACGUGGUCAUAAAUUCAAAUAGACCUUACUCCUGCACAAAUCGUUCACAUUCAGUCGCUCCUUCUCAUUCUCACUCGCUGCAAAAACCAUGGCGUCCAAGAAACGAUUCAUCUUCUCUCUCCAUUUUCAGGCCAUGGCUCGUCAAUCCGACACUUCUCGUACACCACCAUGUCUGUUCUCCACUAGCCACCGAGUCUCACCACCCUACCCAGGAGGAGGGAACCAUUCUGUGGACCAUCAACUUCGUCCCUGCAAGAAGACCAAGGAGACGGUCACUGGGCUUUUCACGAAAUCUUCUGAUGCAACCCACAAGGGAGGGUCAAGGGUGUGACAUAACUCCAUUUGCCUCUAUCGUCCACUCAGAUACUCGAUCUGGCAAUCGAGAGUUCCUGAACACAAUCAUUCUGACAUUGCUGCAGUCAAGAUAAAACUGUUGUGUUGAGAAAAAAUGUCACUGACAAGUGUUGAGCAACCAGAUCGGCUCAUAGGGAUCAAAGGUUGGAAAAACCCUCAGCAAGGUGCAGAAGUGAGAAGGCAAGGUUACUCAAGUGUGUGAGGACAAGUCCUUAGGGCUGAGAACGUAUAACGUGGAAGAACUCUAGCAAUGAUCUUCUGGCUACAGUUAGUUCCUAGGAUAGCCAAGAGGAGUUCAGGACCAGAAGGAGAAGAAAAGGCGUGGAGUUGAAGCUCCCUCCAAGGAAGGUUGGAUGCAGCCAAACCCUCACAAGCAACCAGAUCAGAAAGCAACACAACAAGAGGAAAAAGCUAUGGACCGUACAAAAGCUCUGUGAGCCAUAGAGUGCCUAAGAGAUUGAAGACCAAAGCUGUGGUGGUUGAGUCUGAGUUCUGUGUCCCUUGUGAAUUGUCACAGACAUCCAUGUCCAGGAACGAAGCCCUCUUCCAGUAGGUGGCAACCAGUGUCCCUGAAGUCUCAAUUGACAAUGUGUCCUUCCACUUGCAGUCCAGUGUUAACAGGUGGAAGUCAUGUAUGAGGCCCAAACAAGAGGCUGGCACCUGGAAAAGGAGAACUGGAACAGAAUGGCAAUGGACUGGUAAAAGGAGAUUGUGGAUCUCCAUCAGGAGGCAAGGGCUGAUAAGAACUGUGUCAGCAACUUCCAAGUGCUAUGAGACCUUGUGAAUGGAUUUUAUGUAAAUCUGUCAGAGGAGUUGCUGAUGGGAGAUCCAGGAAAUUUUCGAAAAAGGUCUAGUGCGCGGCAAAUGUGUGAACUUUUCCCCUCUGUAAUAAGAUCAGUAUCUGGGAAGUCGGAUGAAAGAGCAAACUGAGCGUUGAAGUGAAAUCUACAAUAGCAAUAUUUCAAUGUCAUACACAGCAAAGGCAAAGUUCGAAAUGGCCUCCUCAAAGGGAGUUUUCUUAUUGUUGCAGCCAGUAUCUAUAAGUGUUAAGGUUGCAAGUUGCGUGCAUCAUAAUGGCAUCAGCCAACUGGGUGCCUCACUAACCAACAAGUCAAUCUGCGGUCAAGUUAGGGAAUUUAUCUAUGGGCAGUGGGAACCAAGGCUAAGGUGAACUAUGGGGCAAGUACAAUAUUUGAUCAGGACAAAUGAAGCAUGCUGGGAGCUUCCAGGUGUAAAGGUCCCAUGCCUUCCCUCUCGAUAUGUGGAAUAGUGCUGGAAUCAAUUUCCAACACAGCCUGACAGAUAGAUGACUUGUGAGAGAAGGGAGAGCCCAUUGGGCUUUCAGCUACAAGCUGUUCCUGGGCAAGCAGUCCGGACAUUGGUCGUAAGUCGGGAGAACUUCCAACUGCACCAACCAACAAAGCCUGAUGUUAUUGCUGUGCAUCAAUGGAGACCUGCAUAAGAGCUGGAGCUAGAAAGCAUGCGACUGGAACAGCCAUCUUGGCAGCUGGAGUUCUACUGCCUGAGGACACGGAAUGGACUUGAAGGGCAAAAGGGCUGAGGGGGAGGAAGAGGCCCAGCUCUGAAAGGAGGCUGCUGAGGAGCUGAUAGAGGGCAUAGGAUUAAUCCUUUUGUGCUGUUUUUUUCUGUUAAUGUGUGGUUAUUUCGUACAUUUCUUUGUGGGUCUGUAAUAUGAAAGUGUUGCUUUGGCAACAUUUUUGACAAAAAGGGGAGUGACAAUGAUACCCCAGGACAACAUAAAGUUUUACCAUGUUUAAACUUUAGUAUUAAAACAGGUACCCUUUCAUAACAGAUUGAAGUUUUCCCUACUACAGGCUGCUGUGUGUUGAAGUGUGCAGUUAACUUCUUGUGCACACUGUUGUUAAUGCUCUGUGUGUUGCUGAUAGGUGUGAAGUUUUUAUUUAACAUUCCCUCCCCCUGCACUUGAUGUUGACGUUUAGUGCAACUUCUAUAUAUGUGUGCUGCUAAGUGCAAUUCUUAAAUGAAACUCUAUGUCGUGUGAGUGUGCUUGGCCACUGCUGAGUGUAUUAGCUAGUAUUAUUCCGCAUCCAAUGAACCGUUAUGGGGAUCAAAGUGUUAAGCCAAAAAUUUGCCAAAGGGGGAGUUUGUAGUUUUUAAUUGGCUGCCAUUGUAUGGUAAAACACUAAGUCUUGCCUGUGUCAUGAAAUGUAUAUGUGAACUACAUUAAUUACGUGCAGACCUAGCUAACAAGGAUUUAUUGAUGCUGUACAAUUCAUACCUGUCAACAGAUACUAAGGAAUAGACAUCAGGAGUUCUGUAGAACUUAGUAUACACUUGCCAUCUGUUAUCAAGGAAAACCAGUACCUGGCAAAGCCACUGAUUGAAUGUCAAACUGGAUGUUGUGACAUUCAUCCACUGACAAGCAGUACUGAAGAUGGCAGAGUGGUGCUGCUAUACUUCAAGACACUUUACCUUAGUUUGUUUAUUCAAGAGAAUAGCAGAACUAACUUAAAGCCAAUUGUGUAAGUUAAGCUGGACACUUGAUGNNNNNNNNNNNNNNNNNNNNNNNNNNNNNNNNNNNNNNNNNNNNNNNNNNNNNNNNNNNNNNNNNNNNNNNNNNNNNNNNNNNNNNNNNNNNNNNNNNNNACCGGUAUAACACAAGAGCUAAUCAUCCAAAGAUCAUGGACCACUUAGAGCAAGAGAACCGGGAAUUGAAGGAAGAGAUCGCUAGGCUGACUACCAUGAUGGAGUCAGCUCUGGAUACCCAGAGUCAAGCUUCGCCAACUCUUGCAACUCCUCCCCAGAGGACUGUCAUUUCUGAGGUUGCUACCUCGAUUGUGCCUGCUGCAACAGCCCAUUUCGCUCCGUCUAUGCCAGCCGGAUUCCCUUGGGGAAUGCCUGCUAAUUUUGUGCCCGAGGGUUUCGCUCCAACUCUCGCUUCUCUGCCGGCAUCUAGCCCGGUCCUUUCUGUGCCACCUCCCGUUGUGCACACCUUACCCCGUGUUGAAGACACUAUCUAUCAUUCUGAGCCAUCUGAGGGCCCAUCCGUUUAUGAAAAGAUGGACGGAAUGAAAGACAAAUUCCUUGAGCUGCGCAAGGAACUGAAGACUCUGAGGGGUAAGGACCUCUUUGGUAAAAGUGCUGCUGAGUUGUGCCUAGUGCCCAACGUGAAGAUCCCUAUUAAAUUCAAAGUGCCUGAAUUUGAGAAGUAUAAGAGAAAUACAUGCCCGCUCAGCCAUCUUGUGAUGUAUGCUCGCAAGAUGUCAACACAGAUAGACAAUGAUCAACUGCUUAUCCACUACUUCCAGAAUAGUCUAUCAGGUGCUGCGCUCCGGUGGUAUAUGGGGUUGGAGAGUGCGAGCAUCCGCUCGUUCAACGAUCUUGGCGAGGCCUUCGUCAAGCAAUAUAAAUAUAAUGUGGAUAUGGCUCCUGAUAGGGACCAAUUAAGGGUGAUGUCGCAGAAGGACAAGGAGACCUUCAAGGAGUACGCCCAGAGAUGGCGCGAAUUGGGAGCUCAGAUAGUGCCACCCCUAGAAGAGAAGGAGAUGACAAAUAUCUUUUUGAAGACUUUGAGAUCUUUCUAUUAUGAAAGAAUGAUCGCCAAUGCUCCCUCAGACUUCACCGAGAUGGUGAAUAUGAGGAUGAGAUUGGAAGAGGCGGUCCGUGAAGGACGUUUGUCUAGGGAUGACAGCUCUUCAGCAAAGAGGUAUGGGGGCUUUGCUAAAAAGAAAGAGGGAGAGGCACAUGUUGUGUCGUCCCAUGUUAAAAUAAGGCCCUCUAUGAGGAGGAAGAAUGUACGUCAUGCCGUUAACCAACACCAGGUGGCUCACAUAGCACCUGCCUUUUGAGAAGUUCACCAUCAACAACAAAAAUAACAACAUCGUCAACAACAACAGGCCUACCAGCCUCGAAACAAUAAUAACACCAGCACCAGCAACUACGAGAGGAAGAGGGUAACUUUUGACCCAAUUCCGAUGACUUAUGUUGAGCUCUAUCCUUCUUUGAUCGAUAGAAAGCUGAUAAUUCCACGAGACCCUACUGCUGUACCGACCAACCCUCAGUGGUGGUAUAAGCCAGAGCUUCACUGUGUAUAUCAUUCUGGUGCUCCCGUACUUAACAUGGAAAAUUGUUACCCGUUAAAGACCAAGGUGCAAGACCUUGUGAGAAGCGGCAUUUUAUUUUUCGAGGACGUAGGUCCUAAUGUGAAGAAGAACCCAUUGUCCGAGCAUGGGAAAGCAGUUGUAAACAUGGUCCAGGGAUGCCCUGGCAAAUAUAAAGUCCUGUAUGUCAAUGACAUAAGGCAAUCUUUGGUCGAGAUGCAUAAGUUGUUGUGUGAACACAACCAUUACGAGCAUGACCACGAUAGAUGCCAGGUGUGCACUAUCAAUGAGACAGGAUGCCAACAAGUAAGAAAGGACAUCCAAGAAAUGUUGGAUCAAGGGAUGAUUGAGAUACUUCAGAAUCGUAAUGAGGAUGAAGUUGAUGUUAUUUCCCUUGUAUUCAGAAUUCCUGAUCCUGUUGUCAUUAAGUAUGAUGGUAGCAAGAAGAAGGUAUCUCCAGCUCUUGUGAUCAAGCCAGCGGGUCCUGUCCCGUAUUCAUCAGACAAAGUUGUUCCCUAUCGAUACAAUGCUGUUAUGCUAGAAGAUGGGAAGGAGGUGAUGUUGCCCUCAACCUCUGUUGUGAGCAUCUCAGACGUCAGUGGUGUGACCCGUAGUGGUCGUGUUUUCUUGGCGCAGCCGAAAUCCCACGAAGAUGUUGUGAAGAGAACAGUUGAUAAUCCUGCCGGUCCCGUGGGGACUUCUUCUUCAAAUAAUCCUGUUUUGAAGGGUGUUGACCCUGUUGUUGUGAAGAGUAACAACACUCCUAUCCUGGUUGGCCAGUCUGGAAUUUUAAAAGAGGAUGAUGAUGAGAUGUUGAGACUCAUCAAAAGGAGUGAAUACAACAUUGUUGAUCAGUUGCUACAAACUCCAUCAAAGAUAUCUGUGUUAUCUUUGUUGAUGAAUUCUGAGCCACACCGUGAAGCUUUGCAAAGGGUGUUGGACGUGGCAUACGUGGACCACGAUGUCACCAUAGAGCAGUUUGAUAGCAUUGUUGCAAAUAUAACCGCUUGCAACAAUUUGAGCUUUUGUGAUGUUGAUCUUCCCGAGGAGGGAAAGGACCACAAUUUGGCUUUACACAUUUCAAUAAACUGUAAGGAUGAUGCCUUGUCCAAUGUGUUGGUGGACACAGGAUCAUCGCUUAAUGUGUUACCAAAAUCCACUAUGGCUAAACUUUCUUACCAGGGGCCUCCCAUGAGGCAGAAUGGAGUGGUUGUGAAGGCGUUUGAUGGAUCGCGCAAAACCGUGAUCGACGAAUUAGAACUCUCGAUCAAGAUUGGACCUAGUGAUUUCCAUAUCAUUUUCCAGGUCAUGGAUAUUCAUCCGUCUUACACCUGUUUGCUUGGCAGACCAUGGAUUCACGAGGCAGGCGCCAUGACAUCCACCCUACACCAAAAGUUGAAUUUUGUUAAAAAUAAGAAGUUAGUGGUGAUAGGGGGAGAGAAGGCUCUCUUGGUUAGUCAUUUAUCUUCCUUCUCCUAUAUUGACACUAAGGAUGAGGUUGGGACUCCGUUCCAAGCCUUGUCUAUUGCUGAGCCUUCAAGGAAAGGACUUUCUUCAUUUGUUUCCUACAACGAUGCAAAGUUGGCCAUUGAGCAUGGUGCAACUACUGGUUUGGGACAAAUGAUCAGAUUGGAAGAUAACAAAUCCCGAGCUAGCAUAAGGUAUUCUUCAAGUAUUUCCAAUGAGCGUGGGUUGUUCCAGAGUGGAGGUUUCAUCCA
rnacentral:lncRNA from 1 species